rnacentral:rRNA from 1 species
GGAUUAGAUACCCUGGUAGUCCAUGCUGUAAACGAUGAGAACUAGAUGUCGGAGAUUUAUCUUCGGUAUCGCAGCUAACGCAUUAAGUUCUCCGCCUGGGGAGUACGACCGCAAGGUUAAAACUCAAAGGAAUUGACGGGGGCCCGCACAAGCGGUGGAACAUGUGGUUUAAUUCGAGGAUACGCGAAAAACCUUACCUACCCUUGACAUCCCUGGAAUUAUCUAGCAGUAGAUAAGUGCUUUCGAGAACCAGGAGACAGGUGUUGCAUGGCUGUCGUCAGCUCGUGUCG